rnacentral:rRNA from 1 species
GCAAGUCGAACGGUGAAGCCAAGCUUGCUUGGUGGAUCAGUGGCGAACGGGUGAGUAACACGUGAGCAACCUGCCCUGGACUCUGGGAUAAGCGCUGGAAACGGCGUCUAAUACUGGAUAUGAGCUCCUUCCGCAUGGUGGGGGUUGGAAAGAUUUUUCGGUCUGGGAUGGGCUCGCGGCCUAUCAGCUUGUUGGUGAGGUAAUGGCUCACCAAGGCGUCGACGGGUAGCCGGCCUGAGAGGGUGACCGGCCACACUGGGACUGAGACACGGCCCAGACUCCUACGGGAGGCAGCAGUGGGGAAUAUUGCACAAUGGGCGGAAGCCUGAUGCAGCAACGCCGCGUGAGGGAUGACGGCCUUCGGGUUGUAAACCUCUUUUAGCAGGGAAGAAGCGAGAGUGACGGUACCUGCAGAAAAAGCGCCGGCUAACUACGUGCCAGCAGCCGCGGUAAUACGUAGGGCGCAAGCGUUAUCCGGAAUUAUUGGGCGUAAAGAGCUCGUAGGCGGUUUGUCGCGUCUGCUGUGAAAUCCCGAGGCUCAACCUCGGGCCUGCAGUGGGUACGGGCAGACUAGAGUGCGGUAGGGGAGAUUGGAAUUCCUGGUGUAGCGGUGGAAUGCGCAGAUAUCAGGAGGAACACCGAUGGCGAAGGCAGAUCUCUGGGCCGUAACUGACGCUGAGGAGCGAAAGGGUGGGGAGCAAACAGGCUUAGAUACCCUGGUAGUCCACCCCGUAAACGUUGGGAACUAGUUGUGGGGACCAUUCCACGGUUUCCGUGACGCAGCUAACGCAUUAAGUUCCCCGCCUGGGGAGUACGGCCGCAAGGCUAAAACUCAAAGGAAUUGACGGGGACCCGCACAAGCGGCGGAGCAUGCGGAUUAAUUCGAUGCAACGCGAAGAACCUUACCAAGGCUUGACAUACACCAGAACACCGUAGAAAUACGGGACUCUUUGGACACUGGUGAACAGGUGGUGCAUGGUUGUCGUCAGCUCGUGUCGUGAGAUGUUGGGUUAAGUCCCGCAACGAGCGCAACCCUCGUUCUAUGUUGCCAGCACGUAAUGGUGGGAACUCAUGGGAUACUGCCGGGGUCAACUCGGAGGAAGGUGGGGAUGACGUCAAAUCAUCAUGCCCCUUAUGUCUUGGGCUUCACGCAUGCUACAAUGGCCGGUACAAAGGGCUGCAAUACCGUGAGGUGGAGCGAAUCCCAAAAAGCCGGUCCCAGUUCGGAUUGAGGUCUGCAACUCGACCUCAUGAAGUCGGAGUCGCUAGUAAUCGCAGAUCAGCAACGCUGCGGUGAAUACGUUCCCGGGUCUUGUACACACCGCCCGUCAAGUCAUGAAAGUCGGUAACACCUGAAGCCGGUGGCCCAACC